UACGGAGGGUGCAAGCGUUGUUCGGAAUCACUGGGCGUAAAGCGCGUGUAGGCGGUCUCUUAAGUCUGGUGUGAAAGCCCGGGGCUUACCCCCGGAAGGGCACUGGAGACUGGGAGACUCGAGUACCGGAGAGGAAGGUGGAAUUCCUGGUGUAGCGGUGAAAUGCGUAGAUAUCAGGAGGAACACCGGUGGCGAAGGCGGCCUUCUGGACGGCUACUGACGCUGAGACGCGAAAGCGUGGGGGAGCAAACAGG
rnacentral:rRNA from 1 species